ensembl:lncRNA
CUUUGGAAUCUCGUUCGUCUGAACUCCUGUUGAGAAAGGAAUAGCUGACUUCAGCAGAGGGCUACGUAACCGAGGGCUACGUAACCUGUCAUAAAGGACUACAUGUGUUAUGUCUAACCCCCUCCUUGUGCCUCCUCAUAUCUGGUCCCACCCAGACUUUACCUGAAGCUUAUGUCUUCGUAGGUUCUUCUGUAUGUGGCUGAACAGGGAGACGUGUGCCAACUACACUGGUGAGUUUGGUUAAUGAGUACGUUCGGUAUUUGUUAUGGGUAAUGUUCUAGCCCUUGUCUCUAAACCAGAGCUAGCAGAUCCUUGCCUUGCCACAAGCUAUACCCGUCUAGUGUAAAAACUAACUGCAAACAGAGGGAAGUUGAUUUUGGUAGUCGUGUGACUCUGCUCCUAGUGAUGACACCCGCACACGUCUUACGCCCUGCGUCAACGACAGAACCUGCAAAGGUGGACCCACUGGCGUUGCCAGGGCAACAAGGGGACAGCUGGUUGGGGUUACAACUGUCUGAUGGGACCAGGACCCACACAAAAUAGCAUUUGGCUCUGCAUUGUUGAUCCAAAUGGCUGCUAUUAGAUUUAAUAUGGAGAAUCAUUCAUGUCAUGCUGUUGUUUCGCGUGUGUUUUGUGCUGCUACUACUAGUGGUAGUCCUGAUGCAGUACAGGGCACUUGUCAGCACCUUCCCUUAUUUUGUCUCUCAGGGUGGGUGGUAGUGCUGCGUCUUGGGUCUUUUAGAUAGCUGGGGAUAAAAACUCAGACAAAAAAGCCUGUCUUUAAUGUAGUCAUGUUCAACAUGUUUAUUUAGACUCCUCUCCUUCAGGUCCUGAUGGUGGUACCAGACAAGUCACUAGAAGAUGCCUGUUACUGAACUACCUCAAGGUCCUCUUCCAGGUCCUGACUGUUGUACCAGACUGGCCACUAGAAGGAAGCUCUUUGCUGUGACAGUGAAUGAAGUUGAUGUCCUUGUGGGUCUGCAGUCUUCAGGAAGGUCCUGACUGUUCCAGCCUGGCCACUGGAGAACUGUUGCUGCACGACCUCAAGGUUUCUGCCCCUCUGGUUGAGGUCCUGGUGUCUGCAGGGUUUGGAAAGAUCUGGUUGGCUGCUGAAGUGUUGCUGUGCUGGUGGAGUUUGAAGCUCUCCUGUUUUACACCUGCAAGACCUCUUGCACUCCUGAUUGGUCAGCAAGGAAGUGGGGGAAACCAGGCCAAGUCAAUUCAACCCUAUGACUGUUUUGAUGUAUAAAUAAAUCUACAAAUGAAUGCUUGUCCUAUUUUUCUUUGUUGGUGGUAGUAAAUCAGACAUGGUGAAUUUGGCCAUUUUGAAUGAACCAUUUGGUGUUCUGAAUUCAAUACCGAACAAUGUGACAUUUCCUGUCAUCUCAAAUCUGUACAUCGUUAUUCUAGGUGGUUCUAAACAUAUAACGGUGAUUUUGACAUUUUUAACUGGCUAUAGAAAGUUGAUUGAGUAAUUUUAAUCCAUUGCUUUGUUUUUGGAAGGACGUUAUUGUGAGCAGCAUGUUUUCGGCCUUAACGAUACGAUGGGACAGUUAAUAGAUAAUCUAUGGAAUAAACUCAGUUUAC